GGCUGCAAAAGAAGUGGGUAGUUUAACCUUCGGGAGGACGCUCACCACUUUGUGGUUCAUGACUGGGGUGAAGUCGUAACAAGGUAGCGCUAGGGGAACCUGGCGCUGGAUCACCUCCUUAUACGAUGAU
rnacentral:rRNA from 1 species